rnacentral:rRNA from 1 species
UCCGGUUGAUCCUGCCAGAGGUUACUGCUAUCGGAGUUCGAUUAAGCCAUGCGAGUCUAAAGGUUUCUUCGGAAACCUUGGCGGACUGCUCAGUAACACGUGGAUAACCUACCCUUGGGACUGGGAUAACCCCGGGAAACUGGGGAUAAUACCGGAUAGAUCAGGGAUGCUGGAAUGCGCCUUGAUCCAAAGCUCCGGCGCCCAAGGAUGGGUCUGCGGCCUAUCAGGUAGUAGUGGGUGUAACGUACCUACUAGCCAACGACGGGUACGGGUUGUGAGAGCAAGAGCCCGGAGAUGGAUUCUGAGACACGAAUCCAGGCCCUACGGGGUGCAGCAGGCGCGAAACCUUUACAAUGUGCGAAAGCAUGAUAAGGGAACUCCGAGUGCCAGUAUCUAAUACUGGCUGUCCUUGUGCCUAAAACGCACAAGAUAGCAAGGGCCGGGUAAGACCGGUGCCAGCCGCCGCGGUAACACCGGCGGCCCGAGUGGUAGCCGCUAUUAUUGGGUCUAAAGGGUCCGUAGCCGGUUCGAUAAGUCCUCUGGGAAAUCUGGUUGCUUAACAAUCAGACUGCCAAGGGAUACUGUCGAACUUGAGACCGGGAGAGGUAAGAGGUACUUCAGGGGUAGGAGUGAAAUCUUGUAAUCCCUG